ACACUCCUGCGGGAGGCAGCAGUGGGGAAUUUUGGACAAUGGGCGAAAGCCUGAUCCAGCCAUGCCGCGUGCAGGAUGAAGGCCUUCGGGUUGUAAACUGCUUUUGUACGGAACGAAACGGCCUUUUCUAAUAAAGAGGGCUAAUGACGGUACCGUAAGAAUAAGCACCGGCUAACUACGUGCCAGCAGCCGCCGUAAUACGUAGGGUGCAAGCGUUAAUCGGAAUUACUGGGCGUAAAGCGUGCGCAGGCGGUUAUGUAAGACAGUUGUGAAAUCCCCGGGCUCAACCUGGGAACUGCAUCUGUGACUGCAUAGCUAGAGUACGGUAGAGGGGGAUGGAAUUCCGCGUGUAGCAGUGAAAUGCGUAGAUAUGCGGAGGAACACCGAUGGCGAAGGCAAUCCCCUGGACCUGUACUGACGCUCAUGCACGAAAGCGUGGGGAGCAAACAGGAGUAGAUACCCCAGUAGUCCCAU
rnacentral:rRNA from 1 species